rnacentral:rRNA from 1 species
GACGAACGCUGGCGGCGUGCCUAAUACAUGCAAGUAGAGCGCUGGAGAGAGGAGCUUGCUCUUCUUGGAUGAGUUGCGGACGGGUGAGUAACGCGUAGGUAACCUGCCUGGUAGCGGGGGAUAACUAUUGGAAACGAUAGCUAAUACCGCAUAAAAUUUAUUAUUGCAUGAUAAUUAAUUGAAAGAUGCAACUGCAUCCCUACCAGAUGGACCUGGGUUUUAUUAGCUAGUUGGUAAGGUAACGGCUCACCAAGGCAACGAUACUUAGCCGACCGGGGAGGGUGUCGGCCCACCCGGGACUGGGACACGGCCCCGAACCCCUAGGGGAGGAGCAGGAGGGAAAUCUUGGGAAUGGGGGGAAAGCCGAACGGGGAACGCCGGGGGAGGGAAGAAGGGUCUUGGAUCGGAAAGACCCGUUGUAUGGGAAGAAAGGGUGUUAGAGGGGAAAGUUCACACUGUGACGGUACCUAAUCAGAAAGCGACGGCUAACUACGUG